CCUACGGGUGGCAGCAGUGGGGAAUAUUGCACAAUGGGGGAAACCCUGAUGCAGCGACGCCGCGUGAGUGAAGAAGUAUUUCGGUACGUAAAGCUCUAUCAGCAGGGAAGAAAAUGACGGUACCUGACUAAGAAGCCCCGGCUAACUACGUGCCAGCAGCCGCGGUAAUACGUAGGGGGCAAGCGUUAUCCGGAUUUACUGGGUGUAAAGGGAGCGUAGACGGCAGCGCAAGUCUGGAGUGAAAUCCCAUGGCUGAACCAUGGAACUGCUUUGGAAACUGUGCAGCUAGAGUGCAGGAGAGGUAAGCGGAAUUCCUAGUGUAGCGGUGAAAUGCGUAGAUAUUAGGAGGAACACCGGUGGCGAAGGCGGCUUACUGGACUGUAACUGACGUUGAGGCUCGAAAGCGUGGGGAGCAAACAGGAUUAGAUACCCGAGUAGUC
rnacentral:rRNA from 1 species